rnacentral:sRNA from 1 species
CAACACGUUUGCGUCGUGCCUCUCCGCUC